ensembl:miRNA
GUGUGAUGUUGCCCAUUGGCAUAAACCCGUAGAUCCGAUCUUGUGGUGAAGUGAACCGCACAAGCUCGCUUCUAUGGGUCCGUGUCAGUGCGGUAAUCUGAC